CGGCUCAUCGCAUCCUGGGGCUGUAGUCGGUCCCAAGGGUUGGGCUGUUCGCCCAUUAAAGCGGUACGCGAGCUGGGUUCAGAACGUCGUGAGACAGUUCGGUCCCUAUCCGUCGUGGGCGUAGGAAAUUUGAGAGGAGCUGUCCUUAGUACGAGAGGACCGGGAUGGACAUACCUCUGGUGUACCAGUUGUCGUGCCAACGGCAUAGCUGGGUAGCUAUGUGUGGACGGGAUAAGUGCUGAAAGCAUCUAAG
rnacentral:rRNA from 1 species